rnacentral:rRNA from 1 species
UCAGGAAUCUUGCGCAAUGGGGGAAACCCUGACGCAGCGACACCGCGUGGAGGAUGAAGGUUUUCGGAUCGUAAACUCCUUUUGUAUAGGAUGAUAAUGACGUAACUGUACGAAUAAGCACCUGCUAACUACGUGCCAGCAGCCGCGGUAAUACGUAGGGUGCAAGCGUUAUCCGGAAUCAUUGGGCGUAAAGAGUAGCGUAGGCGGUUUGUUAAGUUUUUAGUGAAAUCCUUCGGCUCAACUGAAGAUCCGCUAAGAAUACUGGCAGACUAGAAUCAUGGAGGGGAAAGCGGAACUCUUGGUGUAGGGGUGAAAUCCGUUGAUAUCAAGAGGAACACCAAAGGCGUAGGCAGCUUUCUGGCCAUGUUUUGACGCUAAGGCACGAAAGCGUGGGGAGCGAAACGG